AUUGAACGCUGGCGGCAGGCCUAACACAUGCAAGUCGAGCGGUAGCACAGAGAGCUUGCUCUCGGGUGACGAGCGGCGGACGGGUGAGUAAUGUCUGGGAAACUGCCUGAUGGAGGGGGAUAACUACUGGAAACGGUAGCUAAUACCGCAUAAUGUCGCAAGACCAAAGUGGGGGACCUUCGGGCCUCAUGCCAUCAGAUGUGCCCAGAUGGGAUUAGCUAGUAGGUGGGGUAACGGCUCACCUAGGCGACGAUCCCUAGCUGGUCUGAGAGGAUGACCAGCCACACUGGAACUGAGACACGGUCCAGACUCCUACGGGAGGCAGCAGUGGGGAAUAUUGCACAAUGGGCGCAAGCCUGAUGCAGCCAUGCCGCGUGUGUGAAGAAGGCCUUCGGGUUGUAAAGCACUUUCAGCGGGGAGGAAGGCGUUAAGGUUAAUAACCUUGGCGAUUGACGUUACCCGCAGAAGAAGCACCGGCUAACUCCGUGCCAGCAGCCGCGGUAA
rnacentral:rRNA from 1 species